rnacentral:lncRNA from 1 species
GACCAUUGUGUUUUCUGAAAGAGUUAGUUUUGGUUUACGGGGUUAAGUGGAAAUUUACAGAGAAGGAGCCCUGUAAGGAGUGGGGGUGAUAACAGUAUAAUAAGGCUGUCUGUUUUCAGUGUGAUUCAGGUCUGUUGUGUUUCAGGGUAGCUGCUGAAACAGUGAAUGCACCUCUUUAAGGAAAAUAAACUUCUUUCCUUAAAUAUAAUUUGAUUCCUUGUCUCUUACACUGAGAUGCUAUUUGUUUGUAAUUGUUUUUGCCACAACAAUGCGGAGUUAUGGGCUGGGUGAAGUUGAACGGACACUCAAGGUCAGACUCUGGAGACACAGUGUUACAAGACUUAACUCAGAACAUGAAUCUCUCAACGGAAAAGAAAAGAAACUAAAGUAAAAGAAUAGAAGUAAAGUUUGACGAGACUAGGUGGUGUUUCUUCUCAUUGUGGCUAAUCAGCAGCAGGCGUGCAGUCCGAAGCACACUGGAACCACGCUCAAAGAAUGCUAACAUAACAUCUUGUAGUUAUUCCUCACCAUUAAGUCUCCUUUGGUAUCGACAGCCUAAUACAUCAACUCUUCAGUUCCCUAUACUCAUCCUACAAAGCUCUGAAAAAAGUAAUACAGACUUCAGAUAAGCGUCUGUCAGGAAAACUGAACGUGGACAAAAAUCAUGUGAAUUUGGAAAUCCCCUUUUCCAGAGUUAAAGACUGUGCAGACCAUGGUAACAGUAAGUGAAAUCUUAAUGUACAAAAAGCUGACAGCUUGAGAUCUCAUGGGGUUUAUCAUGAGUUAGGAGGAGCUUCAAGAGCUCUAGAGAUCAUAAGUGCCAUCAUAGAUGCACUAUUUCAGCAUGAUGCGGCUCACCACAGUUAUCCUGCUCUGUGCUGUUGGGAGUGGAAGGUUUGAGAGUCCCAUUUCAUCAGACCAAACUGAGGUUUUUCACGAGGAGGGUGCCAGUAUAACUUUGUCCUGUAGCUACUCAACUGCAGUUACUUUAUAUUGGUACCGCCAAUAUCCCAGAUCAGCUCCUGAAUAUCUUUUAUCAAUUUUUCAAACCUCUGGACGGGUCCAGAGCGCAGAGAAUCUGGAUUCUCGGUUUUCAGCAAGACUGAAUGACAAGAAAAACCGUGUGGAUCUGAUCGUCUCCUCUGUCAAAGUGACAGAUUCUGCUCUGUACUACUGUGCUCUGCAGCCCACAGUGACAGGAAACCUUUACACACUGUACAAAAACUUGCCUAGAAAUAGCAAGUGUGUGUGUGUGUGUGUGUGUGUGUGUGUUUCCUUUUAA